rnacentral:rRNA from 1 species
UACAGAGAGUGCGAACGUUGUUCGGAAUUACUGGGCUUAAAGCGCACGUAGGCGGCAUCGUAAGUGUCCGGUGAAAUCCCACGGCUCACCCGUGGAACUGCCUGGCAGACUGCGAUGCUCGAGUGUGGUAGGGGAGAGCGGAACUCCUGGUGGAGCGGUGAAAUGCGUAGAUAUCAGGAAGAACACCGAUGGCGAAGGCAGCCAUCUGGACCGACACUGACGCUGAGGCGCGAAAGCGUGGGGAGCAAACAGG